rnacentral:rRNA from 1 species
UACAGAGGUCCCAAGCGUUGUUCGGAUUCACUGGGCGUAAAGGGUGCGUAGGCGGUCGGGUAGGUCUGACGUGAAAUCUUCAAGCUCAACUUGGAAACUGCGUCGGAUACUAUUCGGCUAGAGGAAUGGAGGGGAGACUGGAAUACUUGGUGUAGCAGUGAAAUGCGUAGAGAUGACAUAGAACACCUAUUGCGAAGGCAGCUUACUAAGCAGAUAUUGACGCUCAUGCACGAAAGCGUGGGGAUCAAACAGG